rnacentral:rRNA from 1 species
CCUACGGGAGGCAGCAGUGGGGAAUUUUGGACAAUGGGCGCAAGCCUGAUCCAGCAAUGCCGCGUGAGUGAAGAAGGCCUUCGGGUUGUAAAGCUCUUUUGUCAGGGAAGAAACGGCUCCAGCUAAUAUCUGGGGCUAAUGACGGUACCUGAAGAAUAAGCACCGGCUAACUACGUGCCAGCAGCCGCGGUAAUACGUAGGGUGCAAGCGUUAAUCGGAAUUACUGGGCGUAAAGCGUGCGCAGGCGGUUUUGUAAGUCUGUCGUGAAAGCCCCGGGCUCAACCUGGGAAUUGCGAUGGAGACUGCAAGGCUUGAAUCUGGCAGAGGGGGGUAGAAUUCCACGUGUAGCAGUGAAAUGCGUAGAGAUGUGGAGGAACACCGAUGGCGAAGGCAGCCCCCUGGGUCAAGAUUGACGCUCAUGCACGAAAGCGUGGGGAGCAAACAGGAUUAGAUACCCUGGUAGUCCACGCCCUAAACGAUGUCUACUAGUUGUCGGGUUUUAAUUAACUUGGUAACGCAGCUAACGCGUGAAGUAGACCGCCUGGGGAGUACGGUCGCAAGAUUAAAACGUCAAAGAGUAGUACGGACGUGAGAGAGCGACGACGACGACGAGGAGGAGGAGG